GGAAGUAGAAACUAGAGAGACAGGAAGUGACAUGGGAAAAGGGCUUCCGAAAGGCAAAACCAAAGAGCUGAGUGUGAUGGCUAUCACUAAUUUGCAUUUAUCCAGAAGAUUUUGGCUACCCUAUCUGAGCCAAAAAACCUACAUCAGCUAAGAGGGUCAGUGAAGUUUCACUGAAAGUCAAAAAAAGAUGAAGGGAGUGGUGACCUUUUGAAUUUUGAAAGAUCUAGAGAAUACUUCAGCAUCCUGGAUUCCAUAGUCUGGGCUCCAGAGCCAAUUCAGCAUCACUUCUCUAAGAAGCAAGGAGUGACCUUCAAGAUCUCUGGCCAAUGGAAGCUGAAAUGAAGAUUCAUUCAGCAAUAAUGCCACAUCAAUUGAGGAAGUGACUUAAAUCUCUAAUCUACCCUGUCCUCAUGGAGUAUGAAGGGGCAGGAAAUUUUGUUCUUGUAAUAUUUUAAAAGUAAAUAUCUCUUAGUAAAAGCUAAUUGAUGGUAAGUGGUUAAAUGGAACUGAGAUUAGUCAGUAGCAACUAACAAUGGGGAAACAGAGUCAGUGUUGACUCAAGUCAAUUAGCAAUAGAGAAGAGCCAUCCUUCCAAACCUUUAAGAACCUUUAACAAGCCUGACUCAAAGAGAGAGGACCAAAGUGGCCCUACCACAUACACACGAUGCAGGCAAGGGCAUAUAGAUUAAAAAAAUAUGUUGCCAAGUUUCUAAUAUGAUACGGGUAUCAUUUCUAAGAUAAAGAAUUGAUUAAAAUGU